AUUGAACGCUGGCGGCCGGACUAACACAUGCAAGUCGAGCGGAGCUGCGGACGGGUGAGUAAUGCCUAGGAAUCUGCCUGGUAGUGGGGGAUAACGUCCGGAAGCGGGCGCUAAUACCGCAUACUAUCAGAUGAGACUAGGUCGGCUUAGCUAGUUGGUGGGGUAAAGUCCUACCAGGGCGACGAUCCGUCACUGGUGUGAGAGGAUGAUAAGUCACACUGGAACUGAGAAAAGGUACAGACUCCUACGGGAGGCAGCAGUGGGGAAUAUUGGACAAUGGGCGAAAGCCUGAUCCAGCCAUGCCGCGUGUGUGAAGAAGGUCUUCGGAUUGUAAAGCACUUUAAGUUGGGAGGCGUUACCAACAGAAUAAGCACCGGCUAACUUCGUGCCAGCAGCCGCGGUAAUUC
rnacentral:rRNA from 1 species